rnacentral:tRNA from 1 species
UAUGUAGUGGUGUAAGAUGCAUGUCAAAUUUUGGAUUUGAGAGUUUAAGUUUGAUUCUUAAUUAUAUAG